UACGUAGGUGGCAAGCGUUGUCCGGAUUUACUGGGCGUAAAGGGCGCGUAGGCGGUAGCACAAGUCAGUUGUGAAAUCUCCGGGCUUAACUCGGAAAGGUCAACUGAUACUGUGCGACUAGAGUGCAGAAGGGGCAACUGGAAUUCUCGGUGUAGCGGUGAAAUGCGUAGAUAUCGAGAGGAACACCUGCGGCGAAGGCGGGUUGCUGGGCUGACACUGACGCUGAGGCGCGAAAGCCAGGGGAGCGAACGGG
rnacentral:rRNA from 1 species